AACAACGGAGGUCGACAUCGACGUACAUGGCUCUUGCCUUUUACCAGAGCCAUCCGGGUGUCGUCUCUACAAGUUGUUUUUCUAGUUUUUGGAAACUUCUUCUUAUGGAGACAAGUG
rnacentral:snRNA from 12 species